rnacentral:rRNA from 1 species
GACGAACGCUGGCGGCGUGCUUAACACAUGCAAGUCGAACGGAAAGGCCCUGCUUUUGUGGGGUGCUCGAGUGGCGAACGGGUGAGUAACACGUGAGUAACCUGCCCUUGACUUUGGGAUAACUUCAGGAAACUGGGGCUAAUACCGGAUAGGAGCUCCUGCUGCAUGGUGGGGGUUGGAAAGUUUCGGCGGUUGGGGAUGGACUCGCGGCUUAUCAGCUUGUUGGUGGGGUAGAGGCUUACCAAGGCUUUGACGGGUAGCCGGCCUGAGAGGGUGACCGGCCACAUUGGGACUGAGAUACGGCCCAGACUCCUACGGGUGGCAGCAGUGGGGAAUAUUGCACAAUGGGCGGAAGCAUGAUGCAGCAACGCCGCGUGCGGGAUGACGGCCUUCGGGUUGUAAACCGCUUUCGCCUGUGACGAAGCGUGAGUGACGGUAAUGGGUAAAGAAGCACCGGCUAACUACGUG